rnacentral:lncRNA from 1 species
CAUUGAUAAAGGCAACUUACAGCAGCAUCUCCGUCGAAUCACAAAUAUAUAAGAACCCUCUUUAAUCAGUCAAAGAAUAACACCAGAGUUACACUAACAAUCAAGAAGCCCUCUUAGGAGGUGCCAUAUUUUUAAUAAGAGAAAUGGUUGUACCGAUAGCCAAAAAUUGUACCACAAAUCCUGCAGAACAAGGACAUGGUCAAUACAUCAAUUGCAUGCUCCUAUGCGACAUAUGAUGAGAACCAAAUUUGCAAUAUGAAGCUUACCUAGUAGGACAUCUGCAAUCUUUAGAGUCUCCAAACUUUAAUCAUUUUGGCUUGAUUAAAAUGAUAAAUGGACCCGCUACGACCUUGCUGAAAGAUCAAUUCCCUGAACUGUUUGCAAUUUCCCAAUAUAAGGAAGCUUCCUUGGCUUCUCCAAGAGAAACAUAGAUGGAGGAUACGAUUCAUAAGGAAUUUUAACGAUUGGGCACUGGAUAGGGAGACUGACGUUUUUUGCAACUUUAGUACCUUUCCAGCAGCUAUUCAAUAAUGAAGAAAGAAUUGCAUUAAUCCAGGAAAAAAUGGAGUGUUCUCAGUCAAAUCUUACUACAAGGUACUCUCUGGAAGCACAUAACAGAACUCACCUUGGCCAUGGAAAAGAAUAUGGAAGACAAAGUCCCCAUAUAAAAGUUGCUUGUUUCACAUGGUUGGUAGCUAGAGGGGCAUGUCUAAGUCAAGACAACCAACAGAGAAGGGGCACUAAACUUAUGUAACAGGUGUUACCUUUGUGGUGAGCAAUCAGAGAGUAAAAACCACCAGUUCUUACACUGCUCCCAAACCAGCCAAUUUUGGAAACUAUUUUUGAAUAUCGCGGGAUUACAUUGGGUCAAGCCUGGAUCAAUAGCAGAAGCCUUGAGGAGCUAGAUUGGAAGGGGAUAGGAAUGGCAAGUGGGGCGGGGCGGGUUCUGCCUUAACCCGCAAAAUUCAACCCGCCCCGUCCCACCCCG